AAGUCGUAACAAGGUUUCCGUAGGUGAACCUGCGGAAGGAUCAUUAAUGAAUAAACCUGGCUUGGUUGUUGCUGGUCUCUUUGGAGACAUGUGCACGCCUUGUCAACUUUAUAUUUCCACCUGUGCACCUUUUGUAGACUUGAAAACAGUUUUCUGAGGCAACUCGGUCGUGAGGAAUUGCUUAUAAAGGCUUUCCUUGAAAUGUAUUCAAGCCUAUGUUUUCAUAUACACCAUAAGAAUGUAACAGAAUGUAAAUUAUUAGACUUGUAUGUCUUAUAAACAUUAUACAACUUUCAGCAACGGAUCUCUUGGCUCUC
rnacentral:misc_RNA from 1 species